AAUGAAAAUCUUUGACAGGAGACGACACCAUGCUAUUUUUAAUAUGUACGAUUUUUUUUAUUUUUGUGUUACCCACAAUUAGGAAUUCUAAACAUUUCUACUUAUAUUUAAAUACGUUUGUAUUAAGGUGUGUUAAGGGAAGCUACAAUUAUGUUUAAAUAUACUUUACUAGCAAGAAAGCUACUACUUAAGAGGUAGCUGAGAAAUAAAGGAGUAAGCGCUGAGGAGACGAAUAAUAGAGAGGAAUGUAAGAGGAAAAUAUGAUGUGCUGACCCUUCAUAACUGGGAUAAGGGCAGGGAGACGAUGAUACUUUACUAGCGACCCGCUCGGCUUCGCACGGGUGUAAUACUGAUACUAAAUAUAGAAUAUAAAAUAAAUAUUUGCACUAUAAGCGCAAAAAAUGUGUUAAUUUACGACCUCACAUUAGAAACCUCUAAAACUAUCAGUGUUUCUCUAUUAUAGUAUGCAUGUAUCAUACAUAUAAACCAUUCUCUGGAAUCAUUCUAUUUACUAAAUAAAACCGCAUCAAAAUCUGUUGCGUAUUUUUAAAGAUCUAAGCAUACAGACAGCGGGAAGCGACUUUGUUUUGUACUAUGUAAUGGUGUACCUAUAUUUUGUUUAUUUAAACGUCAAAUCGGUACAAAAUGGUACAACGUUUCCUAAUAAUUCAUUUUCAUUGUUUUAAGGUCAUUUAUCAAUCUUUGCCAUUUUCAUUUAUCAACGUAAUUAAAAUAAUUAUUAAUCACCUAAAGAGUAUCUAUAUUUAUCAUUUA
rnacentral:misc_RNA from 1 species